GCCGGGUACUCAAGAUGGGGAGGUGAAAGGGUUAUUAAUGGCCUGAGAGGCGAGAGGAUGCGGUCAAUGAUCUUUACUGGCCCCACAUUUUACCAGAGGCUGACCCAUAUGGCCGAAGACAAAGUGAAGUUCAGAAACACGGGUCCCGUUCACCCCCUUACGAGGCAGCCGGUAGCUGACAGAAAGAGAUUUGGUGGGGUUAAGUUUGGGGAGAUGGAAAGGGAUUGCCUGCUUGCACAUGGAGCAGCAGCCAACCUGCAGG
rnacentral:misc_RNA from 1 species